CUCUGUUCUCAACCAAACUGCCAUCCUGCCAUGCAUUUGUUGAGUCCACAUCAAUGUAAGAUAACCUGACUGCUAAUAUAUGAUGUGAUGAUGUAUUUGAACCUGUAGAGAUUAGACCUUCAUCUGAUUCAAUAUACUUUGAUAGAUAAUGCCAUUAAUUAUUUUGAUCACUGAUUAUUGAUGAUUGACCAAUCAUCUUUGAUUUCCAUAUUUCUAUUGAUGGUGAUUGUAUUGAUACUUUAUUUUACAUUGUUACUGAAACCUAUUUUCUGUUCCUGUCUCGAACCAUGUGCAUGGCAACUUUUACUUUGGGGAAAAAAAAUUAAAAACCCUCAACGCAGAAACUGUUUCCUGGUGGUGUGUGGCUCCGGUUUGAAAUUUAUAACCAACAGCACUAGAUAUGAACAAAAAGAUUGUCAAUGCAAUGGACUAUGUGGAUGAUAUAUCCUUUCCUCUCAGUUCAUUCAUUGCUGAGUGUCUCUUCCUUUAUAUUGUCCUGCAGGUAUAUUCAUGAUACCAAAACACAGAGCAACCUGCUUACAUCAUGAAGGUAAUGUGGAUCAGAAAUUUGUUUGCUUCCCCCUUCAGCUCUUUUAUAUCUUCAGCAACAACAAAGGUACAGUGUACUUGUCAAUAUUGGAAGAGGAGCAGAAGGGGCAAACAUAGGCUCCUUCUACUGAAUUCACAUGAACAAGUUGAUAUGGUCCAAGGCACAAAAUUUUCUUGUCAGUCUCACUCAAUAUGGUAAUACUUUGUAAUAAUCCUGUAAAAAGGCGCAUGUCUGUAGUGGCUAUUUGUCAACAACAAUAAAAUCAAGAGGCCACUGAGGGCACCGGGCAGUGAAUCUUACUCAGAAAGUGCAUGCAGGUAUUGAGUCAAUUGUCCAGCCAGAGAGUGCAUUUUAGGCAGGUUUAUUUCAGCUCUGGAACGUUACAGAAGAUGGUAAAUUGCUUGAUCUCAGGGCUACUGCUCUUUCAGGUACAAAACUGUGUGCCCUCCCGGUGCGUACUGCCUGCCUGAGUGGCUGCAUCAACUAAGUAAAUUCACCUGUGUGCCCAAAUUGCCCAAGUCCUUCAAAAUAAAAGUGCAUAGCUGUGACCCAAAAUAACUGAAAUUAUAUGACUGAAACUGAAUCAAUUAAGCAAAGCAAAAUGACAAAUAAGCAUUAAAUAAAUAAUACUAAAUGGCAAAAUUACUUAAUAGCUUCCACAAUGUCUAUGGAUUAAAUUUGAGUAUGACGCCUAUAGUUGGACACCUUGAUACAGAACCUUUGUAAUCUUCACAAUGAUUUUCAGAUCACAUAAAUUACUGAAUAAUUUCUUGCAUUUUCUUCUUGUUGAUUUUGUUUUUCUUACCGAUAAUGCAGAAUCUUCCGAGUAUUCCUGUGAGUGCUUUAGGAUUUGUAAUUGUUGUAAAAAAAAAAAUUUCCCCCACCUUUCCUCGGCCCCAUGCAGCGCCUUUCUUCCCUUUCUAAAUCAGGACUCAUCAGGAAAGGUUCCAUCAGAGGUGAUCACUUUGCCGGAUUGCCUUCUUGCCAUGGAUAAAGGCAAAUUUGCAGCUUCACGUUUAAUCACAUUAAUCAUACCAACAAACUUCUGGAAGUGAUGACAUAUCAGGACUUGGACUAAGACAUCGAAUUUAAGCAGUUGAUCUUCAUCCCUCAUGGUAACCAACCAGGAAUUUAUGAUUGCAAACUAUCUUUUGAGUUUCUGUGGCUCCAACCAUGUCAGUUAUUUUUUCUCUGCACUGAUUUUGAAAAACCGGUGAAGUGAAAAUCUUUGAAAUGUCAAAUACCCUAGCACUGUAAUAGAUUUUUUUCCCCUUUUUUUUUUCAGUGUGGACACGUCUGCAAAGGCUUUUAAGCUGCCUGCACCUAAUGAUGGAGUCCAUAUGUAAUUUAUGUAAGUGUCUAAUUGAGUAGCUCUAUGAAAACUCAGAACAGCAAAGGAUUAAAAGCCACUGCCCUGCCGCUGAACUUGCAUUAAGAUAAAAACGUCUCUGUUGUAGUUAACCCUUUUUUCCCUGUUCAGUUCUUUACUGCUGAAAUUCACUGAGGCCCUGUGAACCAGCUAUUAAAUCAAAAAGGAAAAUUACGAAUGACACAGUGUACGUGACAUGUCAAGAGUACAGCAUGUUUUUCUGUCAUCAUGAGUGAGUAGCACUACAGCUCAUAAUGUGAGAUUUUAUUGGUUUGACCCUGACUAUCUCGGACCGGAGCAGAUAGACAGAGAGAAUUGUAAUAUUACAGAUUUCCAUCUUGUGACUGAUAAAAUUUCUAUAUCAUGACUUGUAUUUUCUAUUUCUGUGUUUUUGUUCAUUAGCUUGAACAAUAAUCGUAUUGACUUCAGAUAUAUUGCGGUUUAAUUUAUAAGCAAAAUAAAACUAUCUUUUCCUCUGUCCA
rnacentral:lncRNA from 1 species